GCCAAUACUAGCCCUAAGCAUAACCAACACUAAUACCAAACCAACAUACACUAAACCAUUCACCUACACAAAGUAUAGGCGAUAGAAAUUUUAAUCUGGCGCUAUAGACACAGUACCGUAAGGGAAAGAUAAAAAACCACCCAAGCACAAAACAGCAAAGACUAACUCCUGUACCUUUCGCAUAAUGAAUUAGCUAGAAACAAUUUCACGAAGAGGACUACAAGCCAAAUCCCCCGAAACCAGACGAGCUACCCAAAAACAGCUAAAAGAGCGCACCCGCCUAUGUGGCAAAAUAGUGGGAAGAUUUCUGGGUAGAGGUGACAAGCCUACCGAGCCUGGUGAUAGCUGGUUAUCCAAGACAGAAUCUUAGUUCAACCUUAAGCUUACCUAUAGAACCACCUAAUCCCCCUGUAAGCUUAACUGCUAGUCUAAAGAGGGACAGCUCUUUAGACACUAGGAAAAAACCUUACAGAGAGAGUAAAACCCUCAAUCACCAUAGUUGGCUUAAAAGCAGCCAUCAAUUAAGAAAGCGUUCAAGCUCAACACUAACCACCACAAAAAUACCAAACACAUAACUGAACUCCUCACACCACAUUGGAUUAAUCUAUCACCAUAUAGAAGCAAUAAUGCUAGUAUAAGUAACAUGAAUAUUUUCUCCACUGCAUAAGCCUAAAUCGGACCGAAAGCCUCACCGAUAUUUAACAGCCAGGCAUAACAAGCACAAACAAGCCCAUGCCACCUUCACUGUUAACCCAACACAGGCAUGCCCCAAGGAAAGGUUAAAAAAAGUAAAAGGAACUCGGCAAACCCAAACCCCGCCUGUUUACCAAAAACAUCACCUCUAGCAUUACUAGUAUUAGAGGCACUGCCUGCCCGGUGACACACGUUUAACGGCCGCGGUACCCUGAC
rnacentral:rRNA from 1 species